AGGUGCGCUUUGCUUCCUAACCCGUUGCCGGGUUGGAGAUUCCACCUCCGAAGUUUUCUUUCUGACUUUUGAUUUUACAUUCCUAGUACAGUGGAGAAGCCCAGGCGGCCUAGAAUCCAGUGUCGUCCGUGAGUGCUUGGCUGGUGUUCAAGUGCAUCUUCCAGCCUGAGACCGCGUGGACUCGCUCAUCGUGAGGGCGAGAGGAGGAUAAGCCCAUUGGGCUGUCGGCUGAGAGUGAGAUUGCUGAUGAAAUCCUUGGCAUCGUCGGAGAUCUCAUCGAAUGCCUCGUCGUCGAAGUCCCAGGUGGCUGAGGUAACGUUGGCCAAGGUUUCGUUAUCGUUGUCUCCCAUGAAGGGGGAAAGGCCACUGACUCUGGAGAGACAAGAGCAGGACAGCAGGUGUGGCUAGGAGAGGGCGCGACGACCAGGUGAGUGGUAACUGAGGUCAAAGGCGAGGGUCGGCCAGCCUCCCCACCCCCAAACUCAUGCUCUGUGGGCCUUGCACCUGCCUUUCUUCCACUUGUGGAAAGAAAAGAGGGUGUGGUUCACAGCCCUGUCUUUUCUUGGUCACCUGCCUCUUGACACCACCUACCUGUGAGGCUGAGGUGCAGCAGGUUGGCUUUAGAUUACGGGCUUCUGCAGGGUACGCGGCAGGGCUGAUAAGUCCCUCUGUCCUGGUUUUCUAUUAUUCCCCAAAGCCCAGGCUAGAGCCUUCUCCAAGCCCCUUCCUCCCGUGCUCCUGCCCCCUCUCUGUGGACUGGGCACAUGGUAGUGAUCACCACUGCACCCUUCUGUCCCCUCCUUCCCACCUCUCUCCACACACCUUCAGCUCCAAGAAGAGGGCCCGGCAAAUAAGAGAGGCUCAGCAAGUGAAGUGUGUGCCCAAUGGAUAGAUGGACUUUGAAUCAGCAAUGUAGGUUCGGGGAACUUGAGGCAUUUAUGCCAAACUAGAAAACUUCCCUAUGAGGUGCCAUGGCAGAGGACAGAGUGCAGCCUCUCCGCUUGCUGUAUGGCCUUGGACAAUUCCCUGAUCUGUGUCAGUUUUCUCCUCUAAAAUGGAGAAGCUGCCAUUUAACUAUAGGGUGGUCACUUCUUCAUCCUCAUCAUCAUCAUGAUGGCAGCAGACAUUCAUUGAGGUUUUUCUAUGUGCCAGGCACUGGGUCAAGUGCCUAAAACAAGUGAACUCACUUAAUCUUAACACUGCCCUAUGAUGCAAGUAAUUCUUAUAACUUUGUUUUACAGAUGAGGGAAUUGAGGCACAGCCCAGGCUCAAGUCACCUGCCCAAAGAUUCACAGCCAGUGAGAUUGGAAGCCAGGUAUCUGCCUCUAGAGCCUGUCCUCUUAAAUGCUAUACUAUCCUAACAUUUCUGUAAAGAUGAAGUAAAUUGCAGUGUUCAGCACUGGCACCAGGCCUGGUCCACAGUAAGGAGGCGGUCCAUGCCCGGAGAUCUCAUGCAGUUCUGCUGGGUUCCCUCCACUGCCUUACCAAGCUGUGAGUGCAGGAAUGACUUUGUGACCAGCAGCUUAAGCCAAAUAAACUUUAUAAGGUAAAGAAUUU
rnacentral:lncRNA from 1 species